AGGAGAGUUUGAUCCUGGCUCAGGAUGAACGCUAGCUACAGGCUUAACACAUGCAAGUCGAGGGGCAGCAUGAUCGAAGCUUGCUUUGAUUGAUGGCGACCGGCGCACGGGUGAGUAACGCGUAUCCAACCUUCCCUAUAGUAGAGGAUAGCCCGGCGAAAGUCGGAUUAAUACUCUAUGUUUUCCGAAGCAGACAUCUAAUUUGGAACAAAGGUUCACCGCUAUAGGAUGGGGAUGCGUCUGAUUAGGUAGUCGGCGGGGUAACGGCCCACCGAGCCAACGAUCAGUAGGGGUUCUGAGAGGAAGGUCCCCCACAUUGGAACUGAGACACGGUCCAAACUCCUACGGGAGGCAGCAGUGAGGAAUAUUGGUCAAUGGGCGAGAGCCUGAACCAGCCAAGUAGCGUGCAGGAUGACGGCCCUAUGGGUUGUAAACUGCUUUUAUACGGGGAUAAAGUGAGGGACGUGUCCCUUUUUGUAGGUACCGUAUGAAUAAGGACCGGCUAAUUCCGUGCCAGCAGCCGCGGUAAUACGGAAGGUCCGGGCGUUAUCCGGAUUUAUUGGGUUUAAAGGGAGCGCAGGCUGAUUAUUAAGCGUGACGUGAAAUGUAGCCGCUCAACGGCUGAACUGCGUCGCGAACUGGUAGUCUUGAGUGAGUUCGAUGUUGGCGGAAUUCGUGGUGUAGCGGUGAAAUGCAUAGAUAUCACGAAGAACUCCGAUUGCGAAGGCAGCCAACAAGGCCUUUACUGACGCUAAAGCUCGAAGGUGCGGGUAUCGAACAGGAUUAGAUACCCUGGUAGUCCCCU
rnacentral:rRNA from 1 species